rnacentral:tRNA from 1 species
ACGGGUGUAGCUCAAUUGGUCAGAGUGGCGGUCUCCAAAACCGCAGGCUGGGGGUUCGAGUCCCUCCACCCGUGCAA